UACGUAGGGGGCAAGCGUUGUCCGGAUUUAUUGGGCGUAAAGAGCGUGUAGGCGGCUUGGUAGGUCCGCUGUGAAAACUCGAGGCUCAACCUCGAGAUGUCGGCGGAAACCACUUGGCUAGAGUCCGGAAGAGGAGAGUGGAAUUCCUGGUGUAGCGGUGAAAUGCGCAGAUAUCAGGAAGAACACCUAUGGCGAAGGCAGCUCUCUGGGACGGUACUGACGCUGAGACGCGAAAGCGUGGGGAUCAAACAGG
rnacentral:rRNA from 1 species